rnacentral:lncRNA from 1 species
AAUGGAUUUGCAAAGAGAAAAAAAAUUUAAUGUCACACUGCCAUGAUAAGUCAACCAACCAUCUCAUAUAUCAAAGGAGAGAGGCAGAGAAAGAAAAGGAGGAGGAUAAAGAAGAGGAGGAAGAGGACGAAAGGAAAACCAAGAGGAGGAGAAGCCACUUCUUACUUUGGAUUAAUGUGAAACUAAAUAGUUUACUACAUUUUAAGUGGGAAAAUGUUAGUUGAAAAGAUAUUUGUCAACCACAAACAUUUGAAAGGGAAGCAUUCCAAAGAUUUUCACUGUUUAUGUUCAAAUUACAACAUGUGCAGAAAGUUGUGCAACUGAAAAUCCUUUCAAACAACAGCUACAAAAGAGAUUGGUCAGUUAGGACAGGAAUAGAAAGUGGAAACUUAGAAGACUGGCUACUCCUUGUGUAUGAUUGCUGGGGAAAUGCAGUAGACAUUUGUCACCAGCAGCUCUUUGGAGACUUCAAUGUUCCUUCCUCCCAGGAUCCGAAAGGGGACUUCAGACACGGAGAAUCUAAGACACCAGGAGCUCAGAAGAAUGGAGUCUCAAGACAUCAGGCAAAUACCGAAGAGAUCAGAGCCAAGUUCUAAAGGGCAGCCAUUUCCCAAAUGUCAACCAAGAGCGAAGCCAAGAGAAUUAUGAUUUCCUGGCUAUACAAUGACAGGAAAAGCUUGAUCAAAGCUGGAGUGCAAGUUAAAAAGUGUAAGGUACUCAAGUGCUAGGGUCUGUGUCCAAGCCCAAUCAAUUGAUCAUUAGUUGUUUUUAACUUCAACGUUUCUUUUGCAACAGCACCUCUUCCUUAAAGUAGCAAUCUUAGCAGACUGCCACCUUACAUGAUGCAUCUUAUUCUCCAAGGACAAUGAAGACUGAACUAUCGCACAUUACCUAAGAAAGAUGGGAAUUGACAUGCACAUCACAAUUGUAUACACAACAGAAAUUAUUGAAUCAUGAGAUAUACAUUCCGGUGUGUGACAGAUUGGCACAUGACAUAAUCUGGGUUCUUUAUAGACUCAGUUGUUUUGGGGCGAUCUAGAUUAUCAAGAGAAGAGCCUUCAUGCUUAGCUUUAUCUUGUACCAACCACCAGGGCCCUUGCUUCUGAGCAGGAAGCAGCUGGGGAAUAGGCUCUUUCUCUUAAUGACUUCCAACAUAGUUCUCUCAAACCUUACUCCUCCAGAAGGCCACCCUCACCUGGCUAUGGCUACUUCAGAAAAAACUUGGCCUCUGGUAUAAUAGAGCAGAAUCACCACCUCACAUUCUAUUUCAAGCCAAAGUCAAUAUCUCAAAGGCUGGUUCUGUGAUUUAUUUGGCCCUUGGGAGCUCCUACUGAAAGUGCUGAAAUGUCGUACUGACACUUCAGACUUAUAGCUACCUAGACUCCAAGUAAGAUUUAUCUCUGACUGGAGGGUUUCUCCUAUUAAAAACCAAAGAGUGUAGGGUGCCUUCACCUGCUAGGUAAUCUUCUAUGCCCUAAUGGGAAGAAUGGGAGCAGCAGACAAGUAAGUUCAGGAAGGAGAACCAAAGCUGUGUCCAUGCCCUUGAGGAAAGAGAAAUUGGACCAGACAAGUUCAGUGGAAACUUUCUAAUGGAUCCAUCAACUUCAUCUUGUCUAAGCAGAGUCAUAGCUAGAAGUGUGACUGAAAUAGGAGAACCACGUCCAGGGGUUCAGGGGGGAUUCCUCUGAAAUCGCAGCUGGAAGCAUUUCGUAAUAGUUCUGGUACUGCACCCAUAGAUACUGUCACCUCUACUCUUUCUUCCAAUCACCAUUAGCAGAUGCCACAGGAUUCCUACUUCUGAAAGUUUUUGGGCCCUGCAGGUGGAAGACUGGAGAAGCCAAUAAAGUUUAAGGCUACAUUUUAUUCCAUCCACAAAUUUGGUGAAGGAGGAAAUGUUUACAAUUCUGCCAUGCCAUGAAUAGGAGUUUUCCACCGGGUGUACACUGCUGUUAACAAGGUGUAAAUACUUGUCCAGUAAAGAGACCGUACGGUACUGCUGAUGGACGUCCCAACACAAUGCCAGAUGCAAAAACUUCUUUGGUGAUUGCUUUUGAUAACACUGAGUGGCUAAAGGUCUUCUUUCACAUCUUUGCCCACCUCAAAUCCUGAAGGCAAGGUCUCUGGAAUUUGAGGCUGUGCCCUCACAUGCCUCCAAGGCACCAACAAAGCAAAAUGAAGAGUCUGCACUGCUUAUCAGUUGACCCAACACUCAGUCCACAUUGGAGGGGAAGGGGUGGUGGGCUGAGGAUGUCUUCUUCCUGUCCAGGAUGCAAUAUGGUCAAGGAUGAAAGGAAAGAGAUGCUGGGAGCAAGUCUGCAUUGAAGAUGUAUUUCUGUUGCUUUACUACCAACCCUGGUUAUAAAUGAUGAAACUAUAAUGGGUCUGUAAUAGCUACUUUCCCAUAUAGCUCUUGUCUGUACAUACAUAAAAUUAAAAAUAAUAGAAUACUUCCAUUACUAACAUGUGGUGACAAGCAUUCUUCAUUUACCAUUUUUAUUCCAAAAACAUGAUUUAACAUUUUAAAAACCAAGAUCUGUUCGGUAAAUCAGAUAAUAGGGUAAACUAUAGUUUACCCUAUCUUACAGCCAGUUAGAUAAAUGAUUAUUGUGAAAAGAAAAUUGUUAGCAUUGUAAAUAAUGCUUCUUAUAUGAAUACUAAACAGUCUAUUGGAAAACACCAUGGUUGUUGGUUUAGAAUCAGCUUCUUUGGCUGGGCACCGUGGCUCACAUCUGUAAUCCCAACACUUUGAGAGGACAAAGCGGGUGGAUCACCUGAGGUCAGGAGUUCGAGACCAGCCUGACCAACAUGGUGAAACCCUGUCUCUACUAAAAAUACAAAAUUAGCCACGCGUGGUGGCACAUGCCUCUAAUCCCAGCUACUCGGGAGGCUGAGGCAGGAGAAUUGCUUGAACCUGGGAGGCAGAGGUUGCAGAUCACACCAUUGC